GGAGGUCCGAACCCACGAGCGUUGAAAAGCUCGGGGAUGACUUGUGGGUAGCGGUGAAAUUCCAAUCGAGCCCGGAGAUAGCUGGUUCUCCCCGAAAUAGCUUUAGGGCUAGCCUCAAGGUGAGAGAUACGGAGGUAGAGCACUGAAUGUCCUAGGGGGUAUUGCACCUACCGAAGACUAUCAAACUCCGAAUGCCGUCAUCUUAUACUUGGGAGUCAGACUGUGGGUGAUAAGAUUCAUAGUCGAAAGGGCAACAGCCCAGAUCGUCAGCUAAGGUCCCUAAAUGUAAGUUAAGUGGUAAAGGAUGUGGGAUUGCACAGACAACCAGGAUGUUGGCUUAGAAGCAGCCACUCAUUCAAAGAGUGCGUAAUAGCUCACUGGUCGAGUGAUCCUGCGCCGAAGAUUUCCGGGGCUAAAACUUACUACCGAAGCUACGGCAUCAGUAAUGAUGGGUAGGGGAGCUUCCCAUACGGGUUGAAGCAUGACCGUAAGGACAUGUGGACAGUAUGGGAGUGAGAAUGUUGGCAUGAGUAGCGAGAUGUGGGUGAGAAUCCCACAGGCCGUAAACCCAAGGUUUCCAGGGGAAGGUUCGUCCGCCCUGGGUUAGUCGGGACCUAAGCUGAGGCCGAAAGGCGUAGGUGAUGGACAACAGGUUGAUAUUCCUGUACUACCGAUAACCAUUUGAGAGAAGGGAUGACACAGUAGGAUAAGCUAAGCACACUGUUG
rnacentral:rRNA from 1 species